rnacentral:tRNA from 2 species
UGGGAUGUAGCUCAGUGGCAGAGCACUUGUCUAGCACCAGUGAGUUCCUGGGUUCAAUCCCCAGCACCAG